rnacentral:rRNA from 1 species
UAAGUCGGAAGUGCUACUCACAGUCACCUUUGUGACAUACCCGACUGUUGCUUCGGCGGGUCGGGGCGCCCUCCCGGGGGCGCCCCCCAGGCCCGGCCCCUCCCGGGGCCGAGCGCCCGCCGGAGGAUCACCCAACUCUAUUUUAACGACGUUUCUUCUGAGUGGCACAAGCAAAUAAUUAAAACUUUUAACAACGGAUCUCUUGGUUCUGGCAUCGAUGAAGAACGCAGCGAAAUGCGAUAAGUAAUGUGAAUUGCAGAAUUCAGUGAAUCAUCGAAUCUUUGAACGCACAUUGCGCCCGCCAGCAUUCUGGCGGGCAUGCCUGUUCGAGCGUCAUUUCAACCCUCAAGCCCGGCUUGGUGUUGGGGCACUACGGUCGACGUAGGCCCUUAAAGGUAGUGGCGGACCCUCCCGGAGCCUCCUUUGCGUAGUAACUAACGUCUCGCAUCGGGAUCCGGAGGGACUCCUGCCGUAAAACCCCCACACUUUUUCUGGUUGACCUCGGAUCAUGUAGGAAUACCCGCUGAACUUAAGCAUAUCAAACAAGCGGAAGGAAGUUU